rnacentral:rRNA from 1 species
GACGAACGCUGGCGGCGUGCUUAACACAUGCAAGUCGAACGGUAAGGCCCUUCGGGGUACACGAGUGGCGAACGGGUGAGUAACACGUGGGUGAUCUGCCCUGCACUUCGGGAUAAGCCUGGGAAACUGGGUCUAAUACCGGAUAGGACUCCUGCCUGCAUGGGUGGGGGUGGAAAGCUUUUGCGGUGUGGGAUGGGCCCGCGGCCUAUCAGCUUGUUGGUGGGGUGAUGGCCUACCAAGGCGACGACGGGUAGCCGGCCUGAGAGGGUGACCGGCCACACUGGGACUGAGAUACGGCCCAGACUCCUGCGGGAGGCAGCAGUGGGGAAUAUUGCACAAUGGGCGCAAGCCUGAUGCAGCGACGCCGCGUGAGGGAUGACGGCCUUCGGGUUGUAAACCUCUUUCAGCACCGACGAAGCGCAAGUGACGGUAGGUGCAGAAGAAGGACCGGCCAACUACGUGCCAGCAGCCGCCGUAA